rnacentral:rRNA from 1 species
GCACAAGCCGUGGAGCAUGUGGUUUAAUCGAAGCAACGCGAAGAACCUUACCAGGUCUUGACAUCCCGAUGCUAUUUCUAGAGAUAGAAAGUUACUUCGGUACAUCGGUGACAGGUGGUGCAUGGUUGUCGUCAGCUCGUGUCGUGAGAUGUUGGGUUAAGUCCCGCAACGAGCGCAACCCCUAUUGUUAGUUGCCAUCAUUCAGUUGGGCACUCUAGCGAGACUGCCGGUAAUAAACCGGAGGAAGGUGGGGAUGACGUCAAAUCAUCAUGCCCCUUAUGACCUGGGCUACACACGUGCUACAAUGGUUGGUACAACGAGUUGCGAGUCGGUGACGGCGAGCUAAUCUCUUAAAGCCAAUCUCAGUUCGGAUUGUAGGCUGCAACUCGCCUACAUGAAGUCGGAAUCGCUAGUAAUCGCGGAUCAGCACGCCGCGGUGAAUACGUUCCCGGGCCUU